rnacentral:misc_RNA from 1 species
GUUCUUUUUUAAAUUUGAAAAAAGUGAAUGUUAGCGAUUUCUGCUCAGCUACGAGAGUAUAAUCAGUAGCGGCAACGUUUUCCAAGAUGUCGGACGCAGACUGGGAAAAGGAAGAUUUUGGAUUCCAACACGUUGUCAGUGAUAAAUGGGAAGGAGAAGACGAAGAGGACGACGUUAAAGAUAAUUGGGAGGAUGAUGAAGAGGAAAAGAAAGAUGUAAAACCUGAGGAAAUGACGACUAGUGUUAGAGCUUUUCAAAAAAAGAAAAAACGACCCAUAGCUGAAAUCAUAGCUGAAAAAGAAGCUCAACAAGAAAAAUUGAAAGAUGAAGAAUCCAGAAGUAAGCAAGUUGAAUCGCCAGUAGAUCCGAAUGCUGAAAAACUUCGGCGGAGGCAGCUUCAAGAAGAAUCUGACCUUAAAUUAGCAAAAGAAGCUUUUGGAUUAGUGGAGGGAGCUGGUAUUGACCAAAUGAGUCCAGAAUCAGAAGAAGAUUUUAUAAAAUUUGAAGAAGCAUUAAAAGAAAAGAUAACAACAUUUGAGAAAUCACCACACUAUACAGCAUUUUUAGACAAGCUAUUUACAGACCUUAUUAUUAAUGUUGAAUCUGAUGAAAUUAGAAAAAUUAAUGCAUCACUUAGCAGUAUGUACCAUGAAAAACUGAAACAACAAAAGGCAUGUGUUGGAUGAGAUUUCUUGUGGCAGUACUAUAGGUGCCCUUUCUGACGCCAACCCUUGUGUUCAAGAAAAUGAGAAAAA